UACAGAGGGUGCGAGCGUUAAUCGGAAUUACUGGGCGUAAAGGGCGCGUAGGCGGUUAUUUAAGUUGGAUGUGAAAUCCCUGGGCUUAACCUAGGAACUGCAUACAAUACUGGAUAACUGGAGUGCAAUAGAGGGUAGUGGAAUUUCCGGUGUAGCGGUGAAAUGCGUAGAUAUCGGAAGGAACACCAGUGGCGAAGGCGGCUACCUGGACUGUCCCUGACGCUGAGGCUCGAAAGCGUGGGUAGCAAACAGG
rnacentral:rRNA from 1 species